rnacentral:lncRNA from 1 species
GUUAUUCCCAUUCAGUGGUAGGUGCAUUCCCAGUAUCAAAGCCGUACCUAUUGUUCUCUAUCUUUAGGGUCUCUUCUCACUUCCAAAUACACUAAUCUAAAUCAUCCAGUUUUAUAAAGAGAACAUUUUAUGAGGAGUAUGGCCUAAUAAACAACCACAAGCACUAAGGUAAGAGCUUACACUUAUUUAGUAUUUAAUAACAAUACCAACUUCUCCAGCAGUUGUCCAGUGAGUCGUGUCAUGUUCAGCCCCAGUUAAGAAACUAUUUACUUUAGGUGGAUGAAGAACUUGGCUAUCUGCAGAAAGGAGGCAGCCUGCAAGUGAGAAGACUGUUUCCUUAUAUGGCACUAAAAUAAGAUACUUCCCUUCCUCCAAUCUGACUGAUCAUCUUUCAAUCAUUUCCCCCCACUUAAGAAGUGCCUUGAAUUCCACAGCUUCCUGAUUCCACCUGGACAAAUGGCUGGGAUGAAAGAUGGGAACAAAGUUGUUUUAUCCUUGGUUCUCUUCACCUACAAGAUAUCCAAUUUGGGUCAUUUCUGAAGCUGAAUUCAGAAAAAUCCUAAGGUAAGCUGUUUACUUGGAUUAUGUGUGUGUAUGUCUGUGUGUAUGUGUAUGUUUUAAAGGAUAAAAAUAAUAUAAUGAUAUUGGUUCCACUUUAACUUUUUGUAAUAUUUCUUAAUUAAAAAUAUUCAAAAAAAAGAGAGAGAGAGAAGGAGGCAAACCAUAAGAGACUCUUAACCAUAGACAGAAAACUGAGGCUUGCUGGAGGGAAGUGAGUGGGAGAUGGGCUAAAUGGGAAAUGGGUGUUAAAAAGGGUACUUGUGAUGAGCCCUGGGUGUUUUUGUAAGUGAUGAAUCACUAAGUUCUACUCCUGAAACCAAUAUUAUGCUAUAUGUUAACUAAUUAGAAUUUAAAUUAAAAAUUUAAAAAUAUAUCAAAACAUGUGAUAAAUUACUUGAUGACUACUUAAUAAAUGUCCUCUAACCUUUCUGCUAAAACCCAUAUGAGUAAAUCACUGUCCAAAUAUACAAAACAAUUAGAGAACAAUUAAUACCAAAUAGUGUAGUGGUCAAUGUUGCUGAGUCAAUAGAUGUUAGAAUGAACUAUCAAAUGUGGGCUAAUGGGGACGUGUCAUAGAAUUAAUAAUAAUAAUAAUACUAUUUAUUUAGCAUUAUAAUGUAGGCACUCUACUAAACACUUUAUGAAAUGCUUUAUUUCAUACAUUCCUCGUAAGUUCCUGAGGCCAAGGUAUUAUUAUUCUUAUUAACUCAUUU